GACACCAUAUCCAAGUGGUUACGGCGACAGAUUAGAAUUUGCCCCCGAUCGAUGUAUAUUGUAUUUGCACUCAUCUGUCCCUCUUUGAUGGCGCAGGUUCGAAUCCUGCUGGUGUCG